rnacentral:rRNA from 1 species
AGCGAACGCUGGCGGCAGGCCUAACACAUGCAAGUCGAACGGAUCCUUCGGGAUUAGUGGCGGACGGGUGAGUAACACGUGGGAACGUGCCCUUUGGUUCGGAACAACUCAGGGAAACUUGAGCUAAUACCGGAUGUGCCCUUCGGGGGAAAGAUUUAUCGCCAUUGGAGCGGCCCGCGUCUGAUUAGCUAGUUGGUGAGGUAACGGCCCACCAAGGCGACGAUCAGUAGCUGGUCUGAGAGGAUGAUCAGCCACACUGGGACUGAGACGCGGCCCAGACCCCUACGGGGGGCAGCAGGGGGGAAUCUUGCGAAAUGGGCGAAAGCCUGACGCAGCCAUGCCGGGUGAAUUAUGAAGGUCUUAGGAUUGUAAAAUUCUUUCAGCGGGGACGAUAAGGACGGUACCCGCAGAAGAAGCCCCGGCUAACUUCGG